rnacentral:rRNA from 1 species
UACAGAGGUCUCAAGCGUUGUUCGGAUUCAUUGGGCGUAAAGGGUGCGUAGGCGGCGCGGUAAGUCGGGUGUGAAAUCUCGGAGCUUAACUCCGAAACUGCAUUCGAUACUGCCGUGCUAGAGGACUGGAGAGGAGACUGGAAUUUACGGUGUAGCGGUGAAAUGCGUAGAUAUCGUAAGGAAGACCAGUGGCGAAGGCGGGUCUCGUGGACAGUUCCUGACGCUGAGGCACGAAGGCCAGGGGGAGCAAACGGG